GGGGAAUAUUGCGCAAUGGGGGCAACCCUGACGCAGCCAUGCCGCGUGAAUGAAGAAGGCCUUCGGGUUGUAAAGUUCUUUCGGUAGCGAGGAAGGCAUUUAGUUUAAUAGACUAGGUGAUUGACGUUAACUACAGAAGAAGCACCGGCUAACUCCGUGCCAGCAGCCGCGGUAAUACGGAGGGUGCGAGCGUUAAUCGGAAUAACUGGGCGUAAAGGGCACGCAGGCGGUGACUUAAGUGAGGUGUGAAAGCCCCGGGCUUAACCUGGGAAUUGCAUUUCAUACUGGGUCGCUAGAGUACUUUAGGGAGGGGUAGAAUUCCACGUGUAGCGGUGAAAUGCGUAGAGAUGUGGAGGAAUACCGAAGGCGAAGGCAGCCCCUUGGGAAUGUACUGACGCUCAUGUGCGAAAGCGUGGGGAGCAAACAGGAUUAGAUACCCUGGUAGUCCACGCUGUAAACGAUGUCGAUUUGGGGGUUGAGCUUUAAGCUUGGCGCCCGUAGCUAACGUGAUAAAUCGACCGCCUGGGGAGUACGGCCGCAAGGUUA
rnacentral:rRNA from 1 species